UACGUAGGGUGCAAGCGUUGUCCGGAUUUAUUGGGCGUAAAGAGCUCGUAGGCGGUCUGUCGCGUCGGAUGUGAAAACCCAGGGCUCAACCCUGGGCCUGCAUUCGAUACGGGCAGACUAGAGUACGGCAGGGGAGACUGGAAUUCCUGGUGUAGCGGUGAAAUGCGUAGAUAUCGUGAGGAAGACCAGUGGCGAAGGCGAAUCUCUGGACAGUAACUGACGCUGAGGCACGAAGGCUAGGGGAGCAAACGGG
rnacentral:rRNA from 1 species